rnacentral:rRNA from 1 species
UUCGGCCUACGGGACGCAGCAGUGGGGAAUAUUGGGCAAUGGGCGCAAGCCUGAGCCAGCAACGCCGCGUGAAGGAAGAAGGCUUUCGGGUUGUAAACUUCUUUUAUGAGGGACAAAGAAAUGACGGUACCUCAUGACUAAGCCACGGCUAACUACGUGCCAGCAGCCGCGGUAAUACGUAGGUGGCAAGCGUUAUCCGGAUUUACUGGGUGUAAAGGGCGUGUAGGCGGGACUGCAAGUCUGAUGUGAAAAUUAUGGGCUCAACCCAUAACCUGCAUU